GACAACACGGCGAAAGCCGUGCUAAUACCGCAUACGUCCUACGGGAGAAAGCGGGGGAUCUUCGGACCUCGCGCUAUUGGAUGAGCCCAAGUCGGAUUAGCUAGUUGGUAGGGUAACGGCCUACCAAGCAACGAUCCGUAGCUGGUCUGAGAGGACGAUCAGCCACACCGGAACUGAGACACGGUCCGGACUCCUACGGGAGGCAGCAGUGGGGAAUAUUGGACAAUGGGCGAAAGCCUGAUCCAGCAAUGCCGCGUGUGUGAUGAAGGCCUUCGGGUUGUAAAGCACUGUCGGGAGGGACGAAAAAUUCGGGGUAACGCCCGGACUUGACGGUACCUCCAAAGGAAGCACCGGCUAACUCUGUGCCAGCCGCCGCGGUAAUUCGGGC
rnacentral:rRNA from 1 species